rfam:Triticum aestivum genome assembly, contig: Triticum_aestivum_CS42_TGACv1_scaffold_569983_7AS
CCAGUACUCCCUCCGUUCGGAAUUACUUGUUGUAAAAAUGAAUAUAUUUAGAUGUAUUUUAGUUUAGAUACAUUUAUUUUUAUUCAUUUUUACGACAAGUAAUACAGGACGAGGGAAUAUAUG